rnacentral:rRNA from 1 species
CCUACGGGGGACAGCAGUGAGGAAUAUUGGUCAAUGGGCGCGAGCCUGAACCAGCAAAGUAGCGUGAAGGAUGACUGCCCUACGGGUUGUAACCUUCUUUUAUAAAGGAAUAAAGUGAGGCACGUGCGCCUUUUUGUACGUCGUUUAUGAAUAAGGAUCGGCUAACUCCGUGACAGCAGCCGCGGUAAUACGUAGGAUCCGAGCGUUAUCCGGAUUUAUUGGGUUUAAAGGGAGCGUAGAUGGGUUGAUAAGUCAGUUGUGAAAGUUUGCGGCUCAACCGUAAGAUUGCAAUUGAAACUGGCAUUCUUGAGUACAGUAGAGGUAGUCGGAAUUCGUGGUGUAGCGGUGAAAUGCUUAGAUAUCACGAAGAACUCCGAUGGCGAAGGCAGCUUACUAAACAGCCACUGACAUUGAUGCUCGAAAGUGUGGGUAGCAAACAGGAUUAGAUACCCGGGUAGUC